GCGAAUGCGCCUCACCUCGCUCAACCCCGGCCCCGUCGGCUGAGGAGGGAGGGACGCGGACGCGCACCGGAGACGCGGGUGGGCUCCGCGCAGAGUGGCGGGCUCCGGGGCGGAGGCGGGGAUGGGGGCGGGGGCGGUGGCGCCUCCUCCACUCAGGCGUCUGCGCCCGGGACCCCCCGGCCGCGCGGGGGGACGGACCGACUGACGUACCUCGCGCGCCCCCGCCUCCGUCCCCGCCCCCGCCUCAUCUUCCCCGAGCGCCCGGGGCUCGCGGGCUGAGGCGCUUCUCUCUCUCGCCGCCUCUCGCCGCGGCCCUUUCUCUCGGCAGCACCUCGGAGUCCCUCGUCCCGGUGGCGGCGGCAGCGGGGACCCGAGCAGCGGCGAGCGGCCUCGAGGAUGAAGUGCAAGCCGAACCAGACGCGGACCUACGACCCGGAGGGGUUCAAGAAGCGGGCGGCGUGCCUGUGCUUCCGGAGCGAGCGCGAAGACGAGGUGCUGUUAGUGAGUAGCAGUCGGUACCCGGACCGCUGGAUCGUGCCGGGCGGGGGCAUGGAGCCCGAGGAGGAGCCGGGCGGUGCUGCAGUCCGCGAGGUGUACGAAGAGGCGGGAGUCAAGGGGAAGUUGGGCCGGCUCCUGGGCAUUUUCGAGCAGAACCAAGAUCGCAAGCACAGAACGUACGUGUAUGUACUGACUGUCACUGAGAUUCUGGAGGAUUGGGAAGAUUCGGUUAGCAUUGGGAGGAAGCGAGAGUGGUUCAAAGUCGAAGAUGCGAUCAAGGUUCUCCAGUGCCACAAGCCCGUGCAUGCCGAAUAUCUGCAAAAACUAAAGCUGGGCGGUUCCCCAACCAGUGGAAACUCCAUGGCCCCGUCCCCGCCAGAGAGCGAUCCCUAAUAUUUUUGCAGAUAAAAACCCCUUCCACCUGAAAUGCUGUCACAAAUACUUUGGAGCCAUAACUUGUUAUUCUUAGAGAUGAACAGCAAAGAUAUCCAGGAUUGCUUUGAAAGAGUCAUUGAUGUGAACCACUGAUGAAUGGAAUUGGCAAGUAUAGGUGAGCACUUCCAUGCUUCCAAGGAGACAGCUCAUCUGGUUUUCCUCCUACAUCUUGGGACACUCCUUCCCUGUCUAUUCCACUGACUCCUCUUGCCCUGGUGAUUGUACUAUUCUAUGUGAACAGACUCUUAUUCAGCACCCGUAGCCUUUUAUUGUGCUUUUUUGAUAUGUCUGCCUUCUCCAUUAGACUAUGAUAUCCUUGAGAGCAAGGACCACACUUCCUUACUCUUUGCAUAUUCUGCAUCUUAGACACUACUUGAAAUAUGGUUGGCAUCACUGAAGGUUCUUUGAUUCAACUCAUAUUUUAUAAUCACUACAUGGCAAAACGUUCCCCUUCCAAUCUGGUGCUAGUAGAGUAUAUGCUGUCCAGGCACCACGUGUGUGGCUUUUCUGUAUCAGGUGUUUCAGAAACUUUUCAAGGCAGUUGUAAGAUAUUCAAGGACAAGAAUUAUUACUCAUAUUUCUAAGGCAUACCACACAGUGGCUAGCACAGUUUUAAGAUUACCCAUCACUUAAGGCAACAUUCUGUAGAAUCAGUCCUUUAUGUAACAACUUCAGUGUUUUUGUACUGUUGUUAAUUUGCUUAAAAUUUUAUUCAAAAAUAUCACUUGCUAUAAAAGUAACUAUAAAAAUAAAUACAAUGAACAUAAGAUAAUGUGCUUUUUAUAAAAUUUUAAAAUGAUAUACAAAUAACAAAUUUAAUGUUUUUGCACUGCCCUAACCACCUCUUCCAUGUAAUCUUAACAUCUCUUUGAAGAAAAGAUGGUUUUUCUUAUUUUUCAGAUUCAGUAUACUGUAUUAUUUGAUGCCAGAGGCAAAAAGACUGCUAUAGGCAGUUUCCAAAGUUAAUCAUGCCUCUUAGCUUGCCUAGGUUUCUUUUGCAUCUCUUAGUGAUUCAGUUAGCCACAGUUUUCCUCCCCUUUUCCAAUACAUCAGCUAGCUCCUCAUCCCCCCUGGUUUCUGCAUGUGAGAAUGCAGAGGACUGAAAGACAACUAAAUUGUUGUCACUUGGCAAAGGCAUUGGGGGGAAAAAAAACUUCUGUUGGUGGGGGGGACCGAAAAUGAAAGAUUUAGAGAGGACUUGGGUCAGCUACCUCCAGGAGAUCAACUUUAAGAAAAUGACAAAGGUGUUUAGAGGAAGUUUUAUGGAGUUCUGCCAUGGGGUUUGUGAUGUCAGCACUCUUCCCCAGCUCCCUACAAAGGCCCUAAAGUGGCUUUAAUAUGGUAGUUUUCUUUCUUUUGCAUUGUAAAGCAAUUACAUCAGGAAAAAAAUGGGCUCCAUUUGAGUGUUACACCCUUCCUCAUGUUAACAGUGAAAUAUAUUUAUUUAUUAAUUGUUCCCCCAACCUUUACAGAAUUUGAAAUAAAAACACACCUCCCCAACAUAUUGGGGUUUUUUAGGUGUGAUAUGGUACUGUGGUUAUGUUUUUUUUUAUUCUUAUCUUUUAGAGAAAUGUACUGUAAGUUUGACACAUGAAGUGAUAUGCUACUGAUACUUGCUUCAAAAUAAUCUGAGGGUGGAGUAAGUGAGCAUAUAGUUGAAAUUGGUGAUAAAUUGAUAAUUAUUGAAGCUGCGUGAUGGAUAUUUGGGAGUUCAUUAUUCUAUUCUCUAUACUUUUGUAUAUGUUUGAAAUUUUCCAUAAUAAAAAUUGAAAAAAAA